rnacentral:rRNA from 1 species
UACGUAGGGUGCAAGCGUUGUCCGGAAUUAUUGGGCGUAAAGAGCUCGUAGGCGGUCUGUCGCGUCGGCUGUGAAAUCCCCGAGGCUCAACCUCGGGUCUGCAGUCGAUACGGGCAAACUAGAGUAUUGCAGGGGAGACUGGAAUUCCUGGUGUAGCGGUGAAAUGCGCAGAUAUCAGGAGGAACACCGGUGGCGAAGGCGGGUCUCUGGGCAAUAACUGACGCUGAGGAGCGGAAAAGCGUGGGGGAGCGAACAGG